rnacentral:rRNA from 1 species
UACGGGGGGAACGAGCGUUGUUCGGAUUUACUGGGCGUAAAGGGCACGUAGGCGGGAAAGCAAGUCAGAUGUGAAACCCCAAAGCUUAACUCUGGGACUGCAUUUGAUACUGCUUUUCUUGAGUACAAGAGAGGAUGGCGGAAUUCUUGGUGUAGCGGUGAAAUGCGUAGAUAUCAAGAAGAACACCGGUAGCGAAGGCAGCCCCCUGGGCCAGCACUGACGCUCAGGCACGAAAGCGUGGGGAGCAAAC